GAUGAACGCUGGCGGCGUGCCUAAUACAUGCAAGUCGAGCGAACAGACGAGGAGCUUGCUCCUUUGACGUUAGCGGCGGACGGGUGAGUAACACGUAGGUAACCUACCUAUAAGACUGGGAUAACUUCGGGAAACCGGAGCUAAUACCGGAUAAUAUUUCGAACCGCAUGGUUCGAUAGUGAAAGAUGGCUUUGCUAUCACUUAUAGAUGGACCUGCGCCGUAUUAGCUAGUUGGUAAGGUAACGGCUUACCAAGGUAACGAUACGUAGCCGACCUGAGAGAGUGAUAGGCCAAACUGGAACUGAGACACGGACCAGACUCCUACGGGAGGCAGCAGUAGGGAAUCUACCGCAAUGGGCGAAAGCCUGACGGAGCAACGCCGCGUGAGUGAUGAAGGUCUGCGGAUCGUAAAACUCUGUUAUAGGGGAAGAACAAACGUGUAAGUAACUGUGCACGUAUAGACGGUACCUAAUCAGAAAGCCACGGCGAACUACGU
rnacentral:rRNA from 1 species